UCCGUGUAGUGAUGGCAGCAGAAACGAAUUGAGGGCAGGACCGAGAUUCUUCUCGGCUACGGCGUGUGUCAUUUGGAAGCUGAAGACCUGGGGACGGAGGCAACUGGCGUCGCCGGCGUGCCGCCAUGGAGUUUCUGGUGCAACUAAUUAGUAGAUUUAGUCUGCUUGAGGAGGUAGGGGAGCCGGUUCCUGUGGUUGUCGAUGUCUCUGCCAUGGCGGAUCUGCAAGUGGCAUUGCAGGCGGAGCGGGAGGCAGCGCAACGGCGGUGGACAGCGGCGAAGCACAAAUCUUCUUGGCAAAGGAGGCGGCGGCGAACAGAAGGGAGAGCUCGCCACCAAGGUCGGAGCUGUCGACGGGGAAGAUGAAUCCCCAAGCACCGGGGUGGAACAAAAGGUGGAGAGGCGUCCCAAUGAUAGCCACAACAAGUUCAGGAAGAAUCUUGGAGCACCUUCUGUCAAGGAUUUGAACAUUUGAAGCCAUCUCUGUUCUCUUUCGGCUCCGCUUGAUGGAUGACCAAAAGUAGCUUUAUAUCCCCAUGAAAGUCUCGAAUGUUCCAGUAAGUAUUGUUCAUGUACAUUAUGAAAAUGCUAUUCGGUUGAGUCAUGUUUUUAUUCUGUCAAAUGAUGAUUUUUUUAGUAUAGUCGACAGUAAAAAGUUUAAACCCAUUAGAGAUUAUUAAACAAAUGUUCACCUGAAAACAGAUUGUGAGGGUUUGAUUGAGAUAUGGAAAAGCCACAAGAAGAAUCGUGCUUCUGUUCUACCUAUUCUCCUUGAAAUCCAAGAGCUCAGUGGUUCUUUUUUUUUAUUUUCCAGUUCAGCUUUGUAAGGCUUGAGUUAAAUUUAGCUGCACAUUUAACUGCCAAACAUGCUUCUAGCUCCUUGCCGGAGUGUGCGCGGUUAUACUAGGUCCCGGCAUCUCUGAACAAUUGUAUACAGCAUGAACUUGCUGUUGUUGGUCAAGUAAUAUAAGCUAUUGCUUCCCCAAAAAAAACACAGUUGGCUUGCAGGGUAAAGACACCAUGCCCGUCGCACGUGACUGCCUUUUGUUUCUGAACAAUCAUAGGUGCAGCACAACCUUGCAGGACACUGUGCCUGUCACGCGUGACUGCCUAAAAGCCAUGAGGGGUUUUGCAUAGAACCCUACAGAGAAUGUGAUUGUACCACAGUAGAUACAAGUUUCGACUCCCUCGGAGAGGCGUACAAUUUUUACAACAUAUAUUCAUGGGAGAAAGAUUUUGGCAUAAGGUAUUGGAAGAGCAGAUUGAGUGUAGAGAGGACGUAUUGCAUGCAGGAUAUCGUCUGCGGAUGCUUGAUUCCAGUCAAACAUAUAGUGAAGAGGUGGACAAAGGAAGCCUACUGCCAGCACACCUGGCCCAUUAUCAUAAGGAUCAAAUGUAUAGGAAUCCAUUCUCGUAUUGACACAUCAGAAUGUACAUGCAGAGGUAGCUGAAUGUGAUUUGGACUGCAGAGAAGGGAAAGUUGUGAGUGCGGAUCUGAACUGUUCAUUAUGUAAUUCGAGAUGCAAUUUCUAGAGUCGUAACUGACGAUGAUCCAUUUCACAUGUAUUGUUUUGGUGUUGUAUUGAUCUGCUGUUGUU